AACGAACGCUGGCGGCAUGCCUAACACAUGCAAGUCGAACGAGACCUUCGGGUCUAUUGGCGCACGGGUGCGUAACGCGUGGGAACCUUCCCUUAUGUUCGGCAUAACUCCCCGACAGGGGUGCUAAUACCGGAUCAUGUCUUCUGACCAAAGAUUUAUCGCCUUUGGAUGGGCACGCGUUGGAUUAGCUAGUUGGUAGGGUAAAAGCCUACCAAGGCGACGAUCCAUAGCUGGGAUGAGAGGAUGAUCAGCCACACUGGGACUGAGACACGGCCGAGACUCCUACGGGAGGCAGCAGUGGGGAAUAUUGGAAAAUGGGCGAAAGCAUGAUCCAGCAAUGACGCGUGAGUGAUGAAGGCCUUAGGGUUGUAAAGCUCUUUUAACCGGGAUGAUAAUGACAGUACCGGGAGAAUAAGCUCCGGCUAACUCCGUG
rnacentral:rRNA from 1 species